rnacentral:tRNA from 1 species
GAGGGUAUCGCUCAGUGGUAGAGUGGACACCUAGCAUGCAUGAGGUCCUAGGUUCAAUCCCCAGUACCUCCA